GUUUAGCUUAGCAAUCAUUCCUGUUCCUCUCAGUCACUCCUUGGGUUUUUCCCCCAUUUGGUCUCUUCCCAAGUAUCUGGAGUCCACCCUGGAGUGUCUGGGUCCUUUUAGAAACCACAUGCAUCAAGGCUUUCCCAAGUAAAUGCAGAAAAACACAUCACACGGUGAAUAGCUGCUUGCAAAGGCCACAAGAAGUCAUCGAUCCCUUGGAGAUGGAGAUCCAGGCUAGGCAAGCCGCCUCGUGCGAGGGAUGGGAACCAAACUCAGGUCCUUGCCCCCUCUCCUAAAGGAUCUACCAUCCACCAACAGUACCAGCGGCUGCCAACCAAGCCUUCAACUCACGGACCUUUGAGAGUCUGAAUACCAGCCUGAGUGAUGACUGACAGGAUGGUGAUGGAAAAUUUUCCUAACAGGAUCAGCCAGGGUCAGUGUCUGCCUCUGACCUUCGGAAGCUUGUUACCUGUGGAUCCCAGCAGCUUGUUGAACAAGAUCUAAUUGAUUCUGUCCACAGAAAUUUGUUGACUCAGCCCUGAUUUUGUUUGUAUUUGGCUUGAGGUUUUGCCUUUGUUGUUUGUUUAGUUUUGUUUUGGGGAACAGCAUCUCAAUCACUUGUAUUCCAGGCUGUCCCGGAAUUAUCAAUUAAUUGCUUGGCCUCCAGCUCACAGUGAUCCUCCUGUCUCCAUAUCCCAGGUGCUAGGAACAUAGGUAUGUUCCAUGCCUGGCUGUGACCCAAGCUUUCCAACAGCAGUUAUUUACUUGGUCCAGUUUCCAAAAGACAUAAGUCCACCUGUCUUUGAAGAGCAAAACACUGAACCACACAGUAUCAGAGGCGUGAAUAUAUCCUCUUCUUUAAAAGCACAAGACUUUUAUUUCUGCUUAAAGUGUGCUUUUGCCAGUUGUCAA